CACUGGAACAACUUGCCUAGGGUUGUGAUGAAUUCUCCAUCACUGGCAAUUUUAAAAUCAAGACCGGAUGUUUUCCCAAAAGAUAUGCUCUAUUUCAAACUGGAAUUAUUUCAGGGAAAUUCUAUGGACUGUCAUGCAGGAGGUCAGACUAGAUGAUCACAGUGGUCCCUUCUGGCCUUAGAAUCUAUGAACAGCAAUAUUAAACGCU